rnacentral:lncRNA from 1 species
ACCCCUCUCUUGAGAGCCAUCCUCCUCUGUGACCUACACCAGGUCCUUUACCUGCUGAAUUUUGGGGGGCAGCUGAGGUGUGAUCUGCUCCAGAUCUGUGCCCUGCAGCUCUGGGUAUGCCUAGGGGGUGGGGGCUGCUCUUAAAUCAUCUCUGUCCACACCCCUUGUCCCCCGCCCCUAGGUUUUCCAGUGACUUUUAAUCCCUUCCAUUUUCUUGCCUUACCUUUCCAGUGGCCCAGGGCUCGGGGCUCUCAGCCAGCUGGAGUGAUGCCUCGGUGGGUGCCACCCCUUGGGAGCCCUCCAGUGGCCUCUUUGGGGCUGACCUAAUCUCUCCUUUACUGUGAUCAAUAGUAGCCAUUUGCCCUACAGUAGGGCGAAAUCUUUUCCAUUUAUUUCUUUAAAGAUUUUACUUAUUUAUUUUGAAGAGAGAGAGAGAGAGUGCAAGUGGGGAGAGGGGCAGAAGGAGAGGGAGAGGGAGUAUCUGAAGCUGGCUUCAUGCGGGCUCACACUGGGCCGGAUCUCACCACCCCAAGACUGUGACCUGAGCCUAAAUCAAGAGUCGGAGGCUUAACCAACUGAGCCACCCAGGUACCCCAAACUUUUCCUUUUUUUUGCCAUUUGGGGCCCUGGGUCUCAUUUUGGAUCUGGGGUUUCGGGGCUCGGCAGAAUGAGCCAGGGAUUGGGGCAGGAUCUGUUCGGUGUUUUGGGCACUUGGUCUGUUUCUCUGGGUUCAAGUUCUUUCCUGCCCCUGACUGGUCAUGUGACCCAGGCAAGUUUCUUUCUGUUCUGGAGUUCUCCCACUCUCUGGCACCUGUUCACAGCUCUUCUGGCCAUCCUCUGUCUCUCACGGUGCUCAAGGAAUGUUUGACGAAUCAACAGACAUUAUAGAGGUUUGGACUCUGGAAUCCGAUAGACAUGGGCAUGAAUCCCAGCUCUACCUUGUCCUUUCAGUAUGUCCUGGGUAAGUGAGCCACAGUGACCUCAUCUGACAAAUGGGGGGUAUUUGUCUCUGCACCACUGGGCUGUUGAGAGGGCUCUGGAACUCAAGCAUGUCACAUGCUUAGCAGGGCACCUACAG